GGGGCCGUAGCUCAGAUGGGAGAGCGCGUCGUUCGCAAUGACGAGGUCAGGGGUUCGAUCCCCCUCGGCUCCACCA
rnacentral:tRNA from 90 species